CCUCAGGAGAGAGUCUCUUGAACACUUGCUACCUACCAGAGAUCUGUGUCACUGAAUGCCACUGCCUCCUGGCCAUUACCACACUGUUCCAUUGUCCCUUGGUGGCCACCUGGUGCGAUGAGCUCCCUCUCCUGAUCAGUGGCUGAUGUGACCCAGGACACAGUCCUUGACGCUAAGUAAGGAUCCACGUUACUAAGUCUGGUGAGCUAUGAGCAGCAUUCCAGGAUGAAGGCAAGUUCAAGGUCAGAGGAAGAGGAGAUUUGAGCUUCGAACAGAAGUUGUGAACGUCCAGCUCCAGCCUGCUGAUCAGUGCUCAUCUAGUGGGAAAGUGGACCCAGCUGUACCCCAAGAUGUCAGUUCACCCUAAGAUGCCUUGGGGAUUUCACCAAGUGUUUAGAGAAGUAGAGGCUGCCCUGAGUCACAGGCCCUGUGAGUUCAUUGCCUGUCAGAACUGAGAGGGGCAGCAGGAGGAAGAAGUGGAUUGCGGCACUGCGAAGUAGAAGCUGGGCUUAGAGUCAGAGCUGUCUUCCCUGAGCUGAUACCAGAAAGUAGUUAUGUCAUCUGUUCCCUGGUUCCUCCAACGAACAUUGGGUGCCUGUAUGUCAGGCAGUGUUUCUCAGUUCUGGAGGUAUAGGGAAGGGACAGAGGACAGAUCCCUGCGUCAGACAGAUAAUCCACACUCACAAGUUCUUCCUGCUUUCACAGAGUGAUUACUGUACACUGCCUGCCUCCAUACUGAGCUCUGGGCCAACAGGAUCUCACAUAGCCCUUCCAGCACUGUCUGGGAUGCAGCUCUCUGCUGUCACCCUGUUUCACAGACAUAAUGUCCUGCCAGAUGUCCUUCUCCUCCUUCAACAGGUUAUGACCUCUGAAAGGCAAUGAGUCAAGGUGGGGUUCAUGUGGUGACACCUCACCCUGCUCCCAGAGCUGGAUGACCUAACAAGUAAGGAAUGAGGGGUUGUCAUCUUCCGAUAAGGCCAGUCCCCACCCCCCUAAACACCCUCCCCAGUUUGAGAGGUCUUUCUUGUGCCAGGACCUCCAGCAGAACCUUUCUCAGCAUUCCUUAAUCAUCCUUACUUGGAGGCAGGCAUGCCUUUGCUCACCAGUUUCUCCGUCCUCUCACACAGAGAGAAUUUGACUCUUUCUAGGCAAGAGGAUCCCUUGGACCCAUGGUAGCAUAGGUGGGUAUCUAUCCCUUCCAUCCCAGAAGCUUCUCCUCCCAUUCAUCCUGCAGGACAUGAUAUGUGUGAGCUCUGUUAUGUAUCAGAAGCCCCCACGGGCAGAGGAAGAA